rnacentral:rRNA from 1 species
GAUGAACGCUGGCGGCGUGCCUAAUACAUGCAAGUCGAGCGAACAGACGAGGAGCUUGCUCCUCUGACGUUAGCGGCGGACGGGUGAGUAACACGUGGAUAACCUACCUAUAAGACUGGGAUAACUUCGGGAAACCGGAGCUAAUACCGGAUAAUAUAUUGAACCGCAUGGUUCAAUAGUGAAAGACGGUUUUGCUGUCACUUAUAGAUGGAUCCGCGCCGCAUUAGCUAGUUGGUAAGGUAACGGCUUACCAAGGCAACGAUGCGUAGCCGACCUGAGAGGGGGAUCGGCCACACUGGAACUGAGACACGGUCCAGACUCCUACGGGAGGCAGCAGUAGGGAAUCUUCCGCAAUGGGCGAAAGCCUGACGGAGCAACGCCGCGUGAGUGAUGAAGGUCUUCGGAUCGUAAAACUCUGUUAUUAGGGAAGAACAAAUGUGUAAGUAACUAUGCACGUCUUGACGGUACCUAAACAGAAAGCCACGGCUAACUACGU